rnacentral:tRNA from 1 species
GCUUAGUCAGUUGAGCCUCCAACUCUUGAUUUUGGCUCAGGUCAUGAUCUUGCGGUUUGUGGGUUCGAGUCCUACACUGGGCU